UUACUAGAGCAAAGGAUAGACAGCGCCCGCGGAGCUCGCUCCCGGGGCUACCCUACUCCCGUAGGGUUUAGAGUCGUCGGGCCUCUCGGAGAAGCUCGGUCCUGAACUCCACCCUUGAAUAAACUACCUUUGUUGCUUUGGCGGGCCGCCUCGUGCCAGCGGCUUCGGCUGUUGAGUGCCCGCCAGAGGACCCCAACUCUUGUUUUUAGUGAUGUCUGAGUACUAUAUAAUAGUUAAAACUUUCAACAACGGAUCUCUUGGUUCUGGCAUCGAUGAAGAACGCAGCGAAAUGCGAUAAGUAAUGUGAAUUGCAGAAUUCAGUGAAUCAUCGAAUCUUUGAACGCACAUUGCGCCCUCUGGUAUUCCGGGGGGCAUGCCUGUUCGAGCGUCAUUAUAACCACUCAAGCUCUCGCUUGGUAUUGGGGUUCGCGGUUUCGCGGCCCCUAAAAUCAGUGGCGGUGCCUGUCGGCUCUACGCGUAGUAAUACUCCUCGCGAUUGAGUCCGGUAGGUCUACUUGCCAGCAACCCCUAAUUUUUUUAAGGUUGACCUCGGAUCAGGUAGGGAUACCCGCUGAACUUAAGCAUAUCAAUAAGCGGAGGAAAAGAAACCAACAGGGAUUACCUCAGUAACGGCGAGUGAAGCGGUAACAGCUCAAAUUUGAAAGCUGGCUCUUUUAGGGUCCGCGUUGUAAUUUGUAGAAGAUGCUUCG
rnacentral:rRNA from 1 species